rnacentral:rRNA from 1 species
UGCCAGCCUCCUCGGUAACACGGGGGGCGCAAGCGUUAUUCGGAAUUAUUGGGCGUAAAGGGCGCGCAGGCGGUCUUGUCCGUCAGGUGUGAAAGCUCGGGGCUCAACCCCGGAAGUGCACUUGAAACAGCAAGACUUGGAUACGGUAGAGGAGAGAGGAAUUCCUGGUGUAGAGGUGAAACUCGUAGAUAUUCGGAGGAACACCCGUGGCGAAGGCGGCUCGCUGGCCUGUAUCUGACGCUGAGGUGUGAAAGCGUGGGGAGCAAACAGGAUUAGAUA